rnacentral:lncRNA from 1 species
UUUAGUGAAAUGGAGAAGAAAACAGAACCUGUGUUUUUUUUUUUGUUUUUGUUUUUGUUUUUAAUCAAAGUGGUAGUGUUCAGCGUUGCCGUCAAGUAGAGGGUACCUCAAAAUAUAUGGUCCUUGUCCCUCGUUCUCUUUCUUACCUUCCACUUUUCUUUCUUCUCCAUUGUCCUGCCUUUUUUAGUACUCAGCUUUUUAUAUAUAAGUAUUUACUUUUUUUUAAGCUAUAUAUUUGGUCCUUUGGGACUGUGUGAUGAUUAAAUUGUAUUCCAUUCAAGAUAAAACUAUAUGUUUAAUAUUGUAUUCUCUAAAGUUGUCUUUUGAAGCUAUGCUGCUAUCCAGGUACAAGCCAGAAAGGAAUUGGGCCUGACAGCAUCUUGGUCAUGUCACCAGAGGGUGACUCUGAUGUCAUGAUAAUGACUCUUAUUGAUUUGACCAAGGCCAGCCUCCUGUUUAUACCUCUGCCCAUUCAUUUCUGGCCAUGGGAAAUAUACCAGCUAUUGGGUGAGCCAUUGAAGCCAGGAGGAUCAGAAGGGCCAGGGUCCAGCCCAUGGACACCAUGUGAAUUUCUCUGUAGGAAGCUCAUUUGGAGGGCUGGCUUCAGUCGCAGUAGCCAAAGAAAAAUCUGUCUGACUGGACCUUUGAAUUCCUAAGAGUUGGUCAAAGUUCCGCUGAAGCUUAUGCGUAGAUAUCUGUAGCUGCUUGGCAUCCGGAAAUGAGCUUCAACCAAAGCUAAUACAGUCCCGAGUUUCCACCGGAAGCUUGGUGCUGAGCUGUUCAGACCAGUCCUUUAUUAGAGGGUUGCCAAUCUUUCAGCCACGCUUUUGUACCUUUAUUCUCACCUGCUCAUAGACAUAGCCUGAUCCAAAACUGUGGCUUACUGCUCGCUCUGCUCUGCUCACUGGUCAUGUAUAGUGACAUAGUGUAAAAAGGAAAAAAAAAAAAAAGAUUGGGGAGUUAGGUGACCUGGUUUGUAUUCCCUAUGCUUCUACUAACUAGCCUCAAGAUCUUAACCGCUCUGUGCCUCAGUGUUCCCAUCUGCAAAAUGGGGAUAGUGUAAAUUGCCCUACCUACCUCACAGGGUUGUUGUGAGGAUAAACUGAGACAAUGAAUGGAAAGCACUUUUGACAAGUAAGUGCUAUGCAAAGUGUUAAGAAAUGGAACCAAUCUAGUUCAAGGCAAUGGAAUGGACAUUAGCAGAAGGGUUAAUGGGAUCGUCCAGCCCUUUCUCUGUGUGGCUUAAACCUAGGUUGCCAUUGCUUUAUACAUUUUCACUUAGCACAGAUUUGUAAUUAUGCAUGAAAUAAAGCACAGCCUUAUCCAACUUG